UACGUAGGCAGCGAGCGUUGUUCGGAGUUACUGGGCGUAAAGGGUGUGUAGGCGGUUCUCUAAGUUUGGUGUGAAAUCUCCCGGCUCAACCGGGAGGGUGCGCCGAAAACUGGGGAACUAGAGUGCGGGAGGGGAGAGUGGAAUUCCUGGUGUAGCGGUGAAAUGCGUAGAUAUCAGGAGGAACACCGGUGGUGUAGACGGCUCUCUGGACCGUAACUGACGCUGAGACACGAAAGCGUGGGUAGCAAACAG
rnacentral:rRNA from 1 species